UACGGAGGGGGCUAGCGUUGUUCGGAAUUACUGGGCGUAAAGCGCGCGUAGGCGGCUUUGUAAGUUAGAGGUGAAAGCCCGGAGCUUAACUCCGGAACUGCCUUUAAGACUGCAUCGCUUGAAUCCAGGAGAGGUGAGUGGAAUUCCGAGUGUAGAGGUGAAAUUCGUAGAUAUUCGGAAGAACACCAGUGGCGAAGGCGGCUCACUGGACUGGUAUUGACGCUGAGGUGCGAAAGCGUGGGGAGCAAACAGG
rnacentral:rRNA from 1 species